UUGCACAAAAAAAAUAUUUCUUGAAAAAACAGUUGAUAUGGAUAAGUACAAGCACCAUAAUAAUUUAGGAAGUCAUAUCUUUAUUCACUUAAGAAAUUAGAAAAGUAAUAUUGAUAGGAAAACUUAUUGCAUAUCAUAUCUUCCUUAUUACAUGAAAACUAUUCAUGGGAAAUGUGUUCAAUCAUGGGCAAUGGGCUCUGCAUACAAUAUAGUCAUCGUAGCAUGGACCAGUAUAUGCAAAAUAGUUGCAGCAGUACUGUCGUGUCCGUGGCCACUUCAACUUCGUCUCUCUCACACAGUCGGGGUCAUCAUUAGGCCGUAUAGCCGUUGUGCUACUCCCCUUGUCGUCAAUGCUUUGUCCUGAAGUGAAAAAUGAAAUAAACUUAUAUCAUCUCGACAUGAAGGUAAUUUCAUUUUGCAUAUGAACAUGCAGAUAAACGCCUAUGUACAAAACCACUCCAGAUCUUUACAAGGGGUGAGUACUCAAGGUUGACAAAAUGAACUUUAAACAAAAGGACGACCAUUGAAAUUUCAUGAAAUAAUUAUUUAUAAUUGUUCAUUACCUUGGACGGGUGAAGAAACCAGGCAACUUAGAAGAACCAUGGAAAGUAAGAUGAAAAGUUGGGCAUUGUGCUUGAUGUGCUUCCCCAUUUUGUGAGCAAUUCACUGGGUUUUGAUAUUUAUCCAUUACUUGCUCAGGUCCAUAUAUAUAGCAGAAUUGUAACUAGUAUUGUAAUUACUCAUCAUUAACAAACACUAAUCGAAUGGGCUAUCCAAAAUUUUGUAUUUUUCAUUGCCAAACAUAGCUAAUGACUUUAUUACCUAGUGUUAAAAGGUUGUAGCUAAAGAUAGGGAAGUCUUAAAUGUCAUGUUUAGUAUUAAAUGUUGUAGCUAAAGAUAUGGAAGCUUUAAAUGUUGUAGCUAAAGAUUGGGUUAGUUUUCCUGUUGUAGCUAAAGAUUUCUUCUUUUAAAUGCGGCGGAUAAACAUUGGCUAUUUCUAAAUGCCAUAGAUAAGCAUAGCUUGUUCUUUUCUAUAUUUAUUUUAAAUGGUUGAAAGUUAUAUAACAUAGGCUUCCAAACUCUAUUGUUUAAGGGUGCAGUUGGACCACCAUUGACUUGGGAAUAAGGAUCUUUAAAUGAACUAAAAGGAAUUGAGAACUAAAAUUCAAUUUUGUUAACUCUUUCGUUGUCGAUCAAGAAUUACAACUAAGAAUGUAGCAAAAAACAAAUAGAGUGCCAACAACAUUUUCACCAUCUAAUUCUGAAGAAAACAAAAGGAGAGGCAAAUUAAGCUACUUCUAACGAAAAUGCCAAAACAUGUAGGUAUCCGUUGGUGAGCUAAAUUGAAUUGAGCCCUAAAAAUAAUUUUUUUUUUAGAUGGGAAUGAAAAUAAAUUGGCAGAAGGAAAUUGGUGCUAUGGUCGCAUUGAGUUUGAUACUAUAGAUACAUCAAUCAAGUUCUUAUGUUCCGGGUUUACCUUCCUGGAUUGCUCAAAAUCCCAAAGUUGUGAGCCUAUGAUAUAUAUCAACAUUUACAUCACACAAUCUCAUAUCUUGCUUCAUCCUAUUGUAACAGAUCCAUGCUCAUGAAAAGGAAGCAAUGCAUGAGCUACAAAACAUAUAAGAUGGAACUUUCCAAAAGCAUAUCACAGGUACGAUAACUCUGACAUGCAAAAGUUGUUACUCGUUUUCGAGAUCAUAGCUACAUAUGGAAAGAUAUACUGUUUUAACACUCUUAAAAAACAGAACAUUUUCUGAAAAAAUCAUUAACCAUUUAUAAGAUUGUGAACAUUGUUUGAAUACACGAUUUUUUUUAAAUCACGAACAUUUUGGAAUCCAUGAGAGUUGAACAUUUCCCAAAUAGUUUUCAGAUUAUGAAGGAUUUUUGAAUACUUUUAAAUUUUCUAAAAAUUCAUGAUCAUUUUUAAAAGUGUGAACACAAAGGAUCCUUAUAACAAAUUCUAUGGGAAAUUUCAGUCAUAGAAGGAUGGCAAAUUCCAAUGGCACACAACAAGUUUAUGUCAAAAUUAAACGGAAACACGAAAGUUGUCCUGCUUGGCAACUAAAGUUGGCAUCCUCGCGUCACUAAAAUUGCCAUAAAAAAAUUUGGAGUUGCCAUGUGCUGGUAACUGACUGUGGCACUUAUCAGGGUACUAAAAAUGUUAGAAGGGAGAGAGAGGUUGGUCGAAUCGUUUUGAUAUAUAUUGCUUGAGCCUCGUGGGCAUAUAUAUAGGAGUACAAUCAUCUACUUGGAGUACAAGACAAGCUAGAACAAAUCCUAGUCUAUCUCGUCUUUCUUAAUAAACAUUAUACUCAACAUCCCCCCGCAGUCACAACGGUAGCGACGCAGACGGUGAGACUGGAGAAGAAUCUGAAGGCAAGCCGACGGACACCCCCCCCUCCCCCAUAGUCGUAACGAUCGACGCAUCGCGGAGUCGUGACUGGAGUGGCAACCGGCGAGGUUGCUCAAGCAAGGCGGAAGCCCUUUGUGCCGUUUGUCGAUGUAGCCGAGAGCGUGGGUGGUGGAGCCGUGGUCGAGGUAGCCGUUUGAAGAAUGUCGUGGUCGAUGUCGAGUCGGGGUUGCCGGUGUCAAGGAUGUCGCCGUGGAGCCGCGGACGCAAGGGGGCGCCGAGUUAGCAUGGGCGCAAUGGUGUCGAAGUAGUGGUGCACCGGGAAGAAGAUGUUAUUGACGAUGCGUCGCGGAGGAUUUGCCAAGCCUGGGGACACAUCGUUGACGAAGGCACGCACCGGUGUUGCCGGCACCGGGCAUUCGUAGACGGAAGAAGACGAAGUUGAUGAAGCGUCGCACCAGGCUUGCCAGGCCCGGGGACACUGAAGGAAAUAUGCCCUAGAGGCAAUAAUAAAGUUAUUAUUUAUUUCCUUAUAUCAUGAUAAAUGUUUAUUAUUCAUGCUAGAAUUGUAUUAACCGGAAACAUAAUACAUGUGUGAAUACAUAGACAAACAAUAUGUCACUAGUAUGCCUCUACUUGACUAGCUCGUUAAUCAAAGAUGGUUAAGUUUCCUAGCCAUAGACAUGAGUUGUCAUUUGAUUAACGGGAUCACAUCAUUAGGAGAAUGAUGUGAUUGACUUGACCCAUUCCGUUAGCUUAGCACUCGAUCGUUUAGUAUGUUGCUAUUGCUUUCUUCAUGACUUAUACAUGUUCCUAUGACUAUGAGAUUAUGCAACUCCCGUUUGCCGGAGAAACACUUUGUGUGCUACCAAACAUUACAACGUAACUGGGUGAUUAUAAAGGAGCUCUACAGGUGUCUCCAAAGGUACAUGUUGGGUUGGCGUAUUUCGAGAUUAGGAUUUGUCACUCCGAUUGUCAGAGACGUAUCUCUGGGCCCUCUCGGUAAUGCACAUCACUCAAGCCUUGCAAGCAUUGUAACUAAUGAGUUAGUUGCGGGAUGAUGUAUUACAGAACGAGUAAAGAGACUUGCCAGUAACGAGAUUGAACUAGGUAUUGAGAUACCGACGAUCGAAUCUCGGGCAAGUAACAUACCGAUGACAAAGGGAACAACGUAUGUUGUUAUGCGGUCUGACCGAUAAAGAUCUUCGUAGAUAAUGUGGGAGCCAAUAUGAGCAUCCAGGUUCCGCUAUUGGCUAUUGACCGGAGACGUGUCUCGGUCAUGUCUACAUAGUUCUCUAACCCGUAGGGUUCGCACGCUUAAGGUUUCGAUGACAGUUAUAUUAUGAGUUUAUGAGUUUUGAUGUACCGAAGGAGUUCGAAGUCCCGGAUGAGAUCGGGGACAUGACGAGGAGUCUUGAAAUGGUCGAGACGUAAAGAUCGAUAUAUUGGACGACUAUAUUCGGACAUCGGAAAGCUUCCGAGUGAUUCGGGUAUUUUCGGGGGUACCGGGGAGUUACGGGAAUACGAGGAAGAAGCAAUGGGCCUCAUGGGCCAAGUGGUGGAAGAGAGGAGGCAGGGCGCGCGGCCCCCUAGCCCAAACCGAAUUGGACUAGGGGGCCAGCCCCCCUUUCCUCCUUUUCCUCCCUCUCCUUCCUUCUCCUUCUCCUUCCCUUCCUUCCCCUCUCCUACUUGGACUAGGAAAGAGGGGGGAAUCCUACUUGGAGUAGGAUUGCCCCCCUUGGGCGCGCCUCCUCCCCUUGGCCGCCUCUCCCCCCUUUUGCUCCUUUAUAUACAGGGGCAGGGGGCACCCCAUAGACACAACAAUUUAUCCUUGAGAUAUCUUAGCCGUGUGCGGUGCCCCCUCCACCAUAAUCCUCGAUAAUAUUGUAGCGGUGCUUAGGCGAAGCCCUGCGACGGUAGAACAUCAAGAUCGUCACCACGCCGUCGUGCUGACGGAACUCUUCCCCGACACUUUGCUGGAUCGGAGUCCGGGGAUCGUCAUCGAGCUGAACGUGUGCUAGAACUCGGAGGUGUCGUAGUUUCGGUGCUUGAUCGGUCGGGUCGCGAAGACGUACGACUACAUCAACUGCGUUGUCAUAACGCUUCCACUUUUGGUCUACGAGGGUACGUGGACAACACUCUCCCCUCUCGUUGCUAUGCAUCACCAUGAUCUUUCGUGUGUGUAGGAAAUUUUUUGAAAUUACUACGUUCCCCAACAGUGGCAUCCGAGCCUAGGUUUUAUGUGUUGAUGUUAUAUGCACGAGUAGAACACAAGUGAGUUGUGGGCGAUAUAAGUCAUACUGCUUACCAGCAUGUCAUACUUUGGUUCGGCGGUAUUGUUGGAUGAAGCGUCCCUGACCGACAUUACACGUACGCUUACGCGAGACUGGUUCUAUCGACGUGCUUUGUACAUAGGUGGCUGGUGGGUGUCAGUUUCUCCAACUUUAGUUGAACCGAGUGUGGCUAUGCCCGGUCCUUGCGAAGGUUAAAACAACACCAACUUGACAAACUAUCGUUGUGAUUUUGAUGCGUAGGUAAAAUUGGUUCUUGCUAAACCCGUAGCAGCCACGUAAAACUUGCAACAACAAAGUAGAGGACGUCUAACUUGUUUUUGAAGGGCAUGUUGUGAUGUGAUAUGGUCAAGACGUGAUGAGUUAUAAGUUGUUGUAUAUGAUGAUCAUGUUUUGUUGAAGUUAUCGGCAACUGGCAAAAGCCUUAUGGUCGUCUCUUUAUUGCAUAAGAUGCAAGUGCCAAAUAAUUGUUUUACUUUAUCGCUAUGCGAUAGCAAUAGUUGCAAGAGCAAUAGUUGGCGAGAUGUCCAUGUGACGACACAUUGAUAUAGAUCAAGAUGAUGGAGAUCAUGGUGUCAUGUCGGUGACGAUAGAGAUCAUGACAGUACUUUGGAGAUGGAGAUCAAAGGCGCAAUAUGAUGAUGGCCAUAUCAUGUCACAUAUUUUGAUUACAUAUGAUGUUUAUCUUUUAUACAUCUUAUUUUGCUUAGUUUGACGGUAGCAUUUUAAGAUGAUCUCUCACUAAUUAUCAAGAAGUGUUCAACCUGAGUAUGCACCGUUGUGAAAAGCUCUUCGUGCUGAGACACCACGUGAUGAUCGGGUGUGAUAGGCCCUACGUUCAAAUAUAACGGGUACAAAACAGUUGCACACGCGGAAUACUCAGGUUAAACUUGACGAGCCUAACAUAUACAGAUAUGGCCUCGAAACACGGAGACCGAAAGGUCGAACGUGAAUCAUAUAGUAGAUAUGAUCAACAUAGUGAUGUUCACCAUUGAAACUACUCCAUCUCACGUGAUGAUCGGACAUGGUUUAGUUGAUUUGGAUCAUGUAAUCACUUAGAGGAUUAGAGGCAUGUCUAUCUAAGUGGGAGUUCUUAAGUAAUAUGAUUAAUUGAACUUUAAUUUAUCAUGAACUUAGUCCUAGUAGUAUUAGCAUAUCUAUGUUGUAGAUCAAUUGCUCGCGAUAUUGCUCCCUGUUUUAUUUUUGAUAUGUUCCUAGAGAAAACUAAGUUGAAAAAUGUUAGUAGCAAUGAUGCGGAUUGGAUCCGUGAUCUGAGGUUUAUCCUCAUUGCUGCACAGAAGAAUUAUGUCCUUGAUGCAUCGCUAGGUGACAGACCUAUUGCAGGAGCAGAUGCAGACAUUAUGAACGUUUUGCUAGCUCAAUAUGAUGACUACUUGAUAGUUUAAUGCACCAUGCUUAAACGGCUUAGAAUCGGGACUUCAAAGACGUUUUGAACGUUAUGGACCAUAUGAGAUGUUCCAGGAGUUGAAGUUAAUAUUUCAAGCAAAUACCCGAGUUGAGAGAUAUGAAGUCUCCAACAAGUUCUAUAGCUAAAAGAUGGAGGAGAAUAGCUCAAGGAGUGAGCAUGUGCUCCGAUUGUCUGGGUACUACAAUCGCUUGAAUCAAGUGGGAGUUAAUCUUCCAGAUAAAAUAGUGAUUGAUAGUAUUCUCUAGUCACCAUCACCAAGUUAUUAGAACUUCGUGAUGAACUAUAAGAUGCAAGGGAUGACGAAAAUAAUUCCCAAGCUCUUCGCGAUGCUAAAAUCGGCGAAGGUAGAAAUCAAGAAAAACAUCAAGUGUUGAUGGUUGACAAGACCACUAGUUUCAAGAGAAAGGGCAAAGGGAAGAAGGGGAACUUCAAGAAGAACGGCAAGCAAGUUGCUGCUCAAGUGAAGAAGCCCAAGUCUGGUCCUAAGCCUGAGACUAAGUGCUUCUACUGCAAAGGGACUGGUCACUGGAAGCGGAACUGCCCCAAGUAUUUGGCGGAUAAGAAGGAUGGCAAAGUGAACAAAGGUAUAUUUGAUAUACAGAUUAUUGAUGUGUAUUUUACUAGUGUUCGUAGCAACCCCUCGGUAUUUGAUACUGGUUCAGUUGCUAAAGAGUAGUAACUUGAAAUGGGAGUUGCAUAAUGAACAGAAACUAGUUAUGGAUAAAGUGACGAUGUGUAUUGGAAGUGGUUCCAAGAUUGAUAUGAUCAUCAUCGCACACUCCCUAUACUUUCGGGAUCAGUGUUGAACCUAAAUAAGUGUUAUUUGGUGUUUGCGUUGAGCAUGAAUAUGAUUUGAUCAUGUUUAUUGCAAUACGGUUAUUCAUUUAAGUUAGAGAAUAAUUGUUGUUCUCUUUACAUGAAUAAAACCUUAUAUGGUUGCACACCCAAUGAAAAUGGUUUGUUGGAUCUUGAUCGUAGUGAUACAUAUUCAUAAUAUUGAAAACAAAAGAUGCAAAGUUAAUAAUGAUAGUGCAAAUUAUUUGUGGCACUGCCGUUUAGGUCAUAAUGGUGUAAAGCGCAUGAAGAAACUCCAUGCGGAUGGGCUUUUGGAAUCACUUGAUUAUGAAUCACUUGAUGCUUGCGAACCAUGCCUUAUGGGCAAGAUGACUAAGGCUCCGUUCUCCAGAACAAUGGAGCGAGCAACCGACUUAUUGGAAAUAAUACAUACUGAUGUAUGCAAUCCGAUGAGUGUUGAGGCUCACGGCAAGUAUCAUUAUUUUCUGAUCUUCACAGAUGAUUUGAGCAAAUAUGGGUAUAUCUGCUUGAUGAAACAUAAGUCUGAAACAUUUGAAAAGUUCAAAGAAUUUCAAAGUGAAGUGGAAAAUCAUCGUGACAAGAAAAUAAAGUUUUUACGAUCUGAUCGUGGAGACAAAUAUUUGAGUUACAAAUUUGGUCUUCAAUUAAAACAAUGUGGAAUAGUUUCGCAAAUUCGUGCCACCUGGAACACCACAGCAUAAUGGUGUGUCCGAACGUCAUAACCGUACUUUAUUGGAUAUAGUGCAAUCUAUGAUGUCUCUUACCGAUCUACCACUAUCGUUUUGGGGUUAUGCAUUAGAGACAGCUGCAUUCACAUUAAAAAGAGGCACCAUCUAAGUCCGUUGAGACGACACAAUAUGAACUGUGGUUUGGCAAGAAACCAAAGUUGUCGUUUCUUAAAAUUUGGGGUUGCAAUGCUUAUGUGAAAAAGUUUCAUCCUGAUAAGCUCAAACCCAAAAACGGAGAAAUGUGUCUUCAUAGGAUACCCAAAGGAGACAGUUGGAUACACCUUCUAUCACAGAUCCGAAGGCAAGACAUUCGUUGCUGACAAUGGAUACUGUCUAGAGAAGGAGUUUCUCUCGAAAGAAGUGAGUGGGAGGAAAGUAGAACUUGAUAAGGUAAUUGUACCUUCUCCCUUAUUAGAAAGUAGUUCAUCACAGAAAUCUGUUCCUGUGACUACUACACCAAUUUGUGAGGAAGCUAAUGAUGAUGAUCAUGUAACUUUAGAUCAAGUUACUACUGAAUCUCGUAGGUAAACCAGAGUGAGAUCCACACCAGAGUGGUACGGUAAUCCUGUUCUGGAAGUCAUGUUACUAGAACAUGACGAACUUGCGAACUAUGAGGAAGCGAUGAUGAGCCCAGAUUCCGCAAAGUGGCUUGAGGCCAUGAAAUCUGAGAUGGGAUCCAUGUAUGAGAACAAAGUAUGGACUUUGGUUGACUUGCCCGAUGAUCGGCAAGCAAUUGAGAAUAAAUGGAUCUUCAAGAAGAAGACUGACACUGACGGUAAUGUUACUGUCUACAAAGCUCGACUUGUUGCGAAAGGUUUUCGACAAGUUCAAGGUGUUGACUACGAUGAGAUUUUCUCACUCAUAGCGAUGCUUAAAGUCUGUCCGAAUCAUGUUAGCAAUUGCCGCAUUUUAUGAAAUUUGGCAAAUGGAUAAACAAAACUGCAUUCCUUAAUGGAAUUAUUAAAGAAGAGUUGUAUAUGAUGCAACCAGAAGGUUUUGUCUAUCCUAAAGGUGCUAACAAAAUAUUCAACCUCCAGCGAUCCAUCUAUGGACUGGUGCAAGCAUCUCGGAGUUGGAAUAUACGCUUUGAUAAGUUGAUCAAAGCAUAUAGUUUUAUACAGACUUACGGUGAAGUCUGUAUUUACAAGAAAGUGAGUGGGAGCAUUACAGCAUUUCUGAUAAGUAUAUGUGAAUGACAUAUUGUUGAUCGGAAAUAAUGUAGAAUUAUUCUGCAAAACAUAAAGGAGUGUUUGAAAGGAGUUUUUCAAAGAAAGACCUCAGUGAAGCUGCUUACAUAUUGAGCAUCAAGAUCUAUAGAGAUAGAUCAAGAUGCUUGAUAAGUUUUUUCAAUGAGUACAUACCUUGACAAGAUUUUUAAGUAGUUCAAAAUGGAACAGUCAAAGAAAGAGUUCUUGCCUGUGUUACAAGGUGUGAAAUUGAGUAAGACUCAAAACCCGACCACGGCAGAAGAUAGAAAGAGAAUGAAAGUCAUUCCCUAUGCCUUGGCCAUAGGUUCUAUAAAGUAUGCCAUGCCGUGUAACAGAUCUAUUGUAUACCCUACACUAAUUUUGGCAAGGGAGUACAAUAGUGAUCUAGGAGUAAGAUCACUGGACAGCGGUCAAUAUUAUCCUUAGUGGAAUAAGGAUAUGUUUCUCGAUUAUGGAGGUGACAAAAGGUUCGUCGUAAAGCGUUACGUCGAUGCAAGCUUUGACACCCAUCAAGAUGACUCUAAGUCUCGAUCCAGAUACAUAUUGAAAAGUGGGAGCAAUUAGCUAGAGUAGCUCCUUGCAGAGCAUUGUUGACGUAGAAAUUUGCAAAAUACUUACGGAUCUGAAUGUGGCAGACCCGUUGACUAAACUUCUCUCAUAAGCAAAACAUGAUCACACCGUAGUACUCUUCGGGUAUUAAUCACAUAGCGAUGUGAACUAGAUUAUUGACUCUAGUAAACCCUUUGGGUGUUGGUCACAUGACGAUGUGAACUAUUGGUGUUAAAUCGCAUGGCGAUGUGAACUAGAUUAUUGACUCUAGUGCAAGUGGGAGACUGAAGGAAAUAUGCCCUAGAGGCAAUAAUAAAGUUAUUAUUUAUUUCCUUAUAUCAUGAUAAAUGUUUAUUAUUCAUGCUAGAAUUGUAUUAACUGGAAACAUAAUACAUAUGUGAAUACAUAGACAAACAGUAUGUCACUAGUAUGCCUCUACUUGACUAGCUCGUUGAUCAAAGAUGGUUAAGUUUCCUAGCCAUAGACAUGAGUUUUCAUUUGAUUAACGGGAUCACAUCAUUAGGACAAUGAUGCGAUUGACUUGACCAAUUCCGUUAGCUUAGCACUCGAUCGUUUAGUAUGUUGCUAUUGCUUUCUUCAUGACUUAUACAUGUUCCUAUGACUAUGAGAUUAUGCAACUCCCGUUUGUCAGAGGAACACUUUGUGUGCUACCAAACGUCACAAUGUAACUGGGUGAUUAUAAAGGAGCUCUACAGGUGCCUCCAAAGGUACAUGUUGGGUUGGCGUAUUUCGAGAUUAGGAUUUGUCACUCCGAUUGUCGGAGAGGUAUCUCUGGGCCCUCUCGGUAAUGCACAUCACUCAAGCCUUGCAAGCAUUGUAACUAAUGAGUUAGUUGCGGGAUGAUUGUCAGGACCCCGAUUCUAAGCCACAUCGAUCUAGCCGGUAACACCUCAUAUCACUUUGCGGCCUCACACACGGUAUCCCACGGGUGUCGCCUUACCCUGGCCCGGGACCGUUUGCGCCUUUUGGCUCGCGUAUAUGACAAUGUCGCUAGCAUCCAUAUGACCGAGAACCCGGGCCGACAUGGCUAGUCGUGAACCCAAAGCGGCACAGACCUAUGGAGACAGGCAUACAUGAAUCACAUCGAACAUGUCGGUCAUCAAUGAGUGAUUCCGGGCUGUAGCACUGGGCUAACAGGACUCCGGGGAUCCCGGGCUGUAGCAGGCUAGACAGGACUCCGGAGAUCACCGCGUGACAUUUCCCCGAAGGGACAGACAUAGGGACGAAGUGAAACACAUGCCGGCCAGUCAAGUGUCCUGAACAGUAGUGCUGGGCUAGCAGGACUCCGGUGAACCGGGCUGUAGCGGACUACUAUGGCUCGAGGAGCACUAGACUACAUUUCCCCAUAAGAAGGGCUGCGAAGGGCAAACAACUAGAUUGUCGGAUCCCACUCAUACCAAGCAUUUCAAUCAUACACACAAUAUGCCCGAUAUGAGUACAUACAACAUGGCAUCACAACAAAACUCUACAACUCAAGUACUUUAUUUGAAGGCUCUAGGGAGCCAUACAUAACAUAUUCAUACAGAUAGGGGUCACAUGACCCGACACUCAAGUCAUACAGUCAUACAAGCAAAUGCGGAAGCAACUAGUCUGAGUACAGACUCUAGAAAGAAAGAAGGCUUCUCGAAGCCUGUCUAUCUACAUAGGGCCCUCCAUGGCCUGGAUCACCACCUAGGUGGCUAGUCACUCGUCGACGUCAAGGUCUACGUAAAACCCAUCGGAGGGGGCAGUGUUGUCGUCUAAAAACAAUAAAUAAGCAAACAUGAGUACAAAGGUACUCAGCAAGUCUUACAUCAGAACCUACUAUACAUGCUCAUUCUCAAGAAGGUGGUGGGGUUUAUGCAGCAAGCCAGCUUUGACUCUUGGCUAAGCUAUCCUACGGAACCUUUUAGCAAAAUAGUUUUCGCACUCGAGUCCACUACUCACCAUCACAAUACUCCAUCGUGGAUCCUCCCUCGUAUCCUGCGAGAGGGCCAUCCUCAGUACUCACACUUAUCUUGAGUCUUUUAGUAGUAUCCAUUAACUUGUCUAUGAACUGUAUAGGCAACCAAGUAGUCCUUUACCGCGGACGCGGCUAUUCGAAUAGUUUUAUACCCUGCAGGGGUGUACUUCGUCAUACACGCUUUCACCGCUUACCGCCGUCUACACGACAUGUACUCGGCAACCUUCAAGCGGAAGCCCAGCGAGGGUGUCGGCCACGGCCUACCUAAACACCUAAGCCCCUAGUCCAGGUUAUCGCCUAUCCAGGUUCCAUCCGCAGGGAGUCCGGCCGAGGUUUCCACAUACGGCCCCGAACGAUGUGAACAGGGUUCCCGGGACACCAAACGGGUGACUCGGUACACCGUGCCACGGUGUAUCUACCGCAACAUAGCCCACCCCUAGGGUCAGCGCUACGCACGGCCGCCAACACAUAUCCUACAAACACCAGAAACUAUUUGCAACUCCUGGACAGAGUACUAGGGUGGCUAAGAAGCCGAGAGGGUCCAUUUGUUUCGGGCCCAAUGUACGGUAGUAACUGCAUCUUAAAUCACACAUACAGAUCUCAGUUCUUAUGGACGGCCUCAAUGAAACAACCCACCAUGUACUCCUGCAUGGCCUCUCAUCGAUACCUUUACCAAAAACAUGUUCAACACAUCCCACAUAUUACUGGCACAAGCAUUUCACUCUAGCCCAUCACCCAGAUGAACCAGACCUGACACAACUCUAAGCAUAGCAGGCAUAGCAAGGUAGGAAUCACAAAACAUGGCUCAAUCAACUCCUACACAUGCUAGUGGGUUUCAUCUAGUUACUGUGGCAAUGACAGGUCAUGCAGAGGAUAAGGGUUCAACUACCGUAGCACACAGCAGUUUGAAACGCGUUGUCUUAAUGCAGUAAACAAGAGCAGGAGCGAGAACAUGGGUUGUAUCGGAAUGAUCAAUGGUUGCUUGCCUGAUGGAGUGGUAACGGGCUACUGCCCUUCAGUUGGAUACUCGUGAAUAUCCUCGGAGGCAGAACCUACCACGAAGAACACAACCGAGCACAAUCAACACAUGACGAUAUGCAACAACAUGAUGCAUGCUAUGACAUGGCAAUAUGGAUGUGUCUUGGCCUAAUGCAAGCUAAAACAGAAGGGUAAUUGCUUAUUUGAACCAAAGGUUCAAGUGUUAGCUCAUUUAACUUGAUCAUAUUAGUGCAUCACCUUAUAUUGCAUAAACAGCAGGUUUAACUUGUUCUGACAUGCAUGAAACCAGUACCAAUGGAUAGCUUGGAUUUUUCUGAUAAUUUUACAUAUAUAAUUUGUCUCAUUUGGAGUUAUGGUUGAAUUUCUAUGAAUUUUUGAAGUUUAGGCAAUUUUCUGGAAUUUUCUAUAUAAAAUUAAAUCCAGAAAGGAGUUAUUGCGUCAGCCUUGCGUCAGCAUGACGUCAGCAAGUCAACAGGCCCGGUACAGGUCAAACCUGACCUGUGGGACCCGUGUGUCAGUGGCUCAUUUAGUUAAUUAACUAAUUAAAUUUAGAUUAGCACUAAACAGGUUUAAUUAGCAGGGGGGCCCGCUUGUCAUUGACUCAGGGGAGUCAACUGGGCCCACCUAGUCAAUGGUCAGGGUCAACACUCGCCGGCGUCUAGCCGCCGGCGAGGCCAGACGCGGCGGAGGAAGUGCAUUUGCACGUUCCGGCCACUAAACGGGAGGCGGAGAGCAUCUACGGGCUCCUGGGAACGAGCCGCAGCUCUUGGUGGUGAGGGUUGAGCUCGGGGUGGCCGGAGACGUCGCCGGCGACGACUUUGGCGGUCGCCGGAGUUCGGGCGCCGAUGAAAACGGCGCCACCGUGCACGGGAGGAUCAACGGGUAGCACCUACGCGUACUGCAGGCUCCCGCAAAGCCAACGGGCAUAUGCACGGGGCCGAUUGGCCACCGGAGCCUCGUCGGCGACGAGCUCGUGCGGCGGUGUGCUUCGGGCGUCAUGGGGAGUGGUGCUACAAUGAGCGCUAGGCCGUGGGGUUAGGGGGAAACGACGGAGGAGCUCACUGGGAGGUCGAAGCGCAGCUCAGUGGGCCUGGGGACGACCUAGACGGCGCGAAUCGAAGACGAGGUCGCCGGCGGCCGGAGGUUGAAGAAGAGCUCGAAGUCGACGCUGCAGGGCUUCCGGCGGGGCGUGGUUCGGUGAGGGGGUCGAGGACGACGUUGCGGAGCUCGUGGGCACAAUCGAGGGGCGAGGGGGUGGCUGUGGCCGUGGUGGUUCUCGUCGGCGGCGACGGCCGCAUUCUGUGGAAGUGAGGGGGAGCCAGAGGAGGGGAUGAGCACGGGGGGAGGAGGAAUGAGAGGGCCAGGGGGUGCGUGGCCGUCUCCGCGGCAUUGGGAGGGAGUCCGGGAAGCAUGAGGUGGCGCGCAGCGGGGGAGGUGGCGCGCGCGCGUGCCGGCGAGCGUCGGGCACACGCCCGCGUCCUUCUGUCCGAGGAGGGGGACGACAGGAGGCAGCGGGGGUGGGCUGGGCCGCCAGCUGGAGAUGGGCCAGGUAAGUGGCCCAGUGGCCUUUCCCUUUUUAUUAUUUUUUUUGUGUUUUUCUAUUUCUGUUAUUUUGUUUUUAUUUAGUUUAAAUACUAAAUCAUUUUAUGAAAUCCUGAAAAUAUUUAUGGACACUUACUGAAAUAUUUCAGUGGCCCAAAAAAUAGUUCCAACAUUAUUUGAGCAUUUGAAUUAUUUAAUAGCAUUUAAAUGCCCAAAUUCAAAUACUUAUGAUUUAAAUCAAUGCCCCUUUUGUUGACGUAAAAUUAUGUGCACCAUUUUUCCCAAGGGUUCUAACCCAAGGCAAGGAGGGUGAACAUUUUUGAAGGGCAUUUCAGGUUCAUUGAAUUUAUUUUUAGUAAACCCUAGUUGAUUUCAGGGGGGUGCUGGGGGUUCUGCUUUCCCCAUUUCAAUUUUCUGAUGAAGGUAAACAUGAUGCACACUCUAAUGCAUAAUCUAGCUAGGGUGUGACAAUGAUGUAUUACAGAACGAGUAAAGAGACUUGCCAGUAACGAGAUUGAACUAGGUAUUGAGAUACCGACGAUCGAAUCUCGGGCAAGUAACAUACUGAUGACAAAGGGAACAACGUAUGUUGUUAUGCGGUCUGACCGAUAAAGAUCUUCAUAGAAUAUGUGGAAGCCAAUAUGAGCAUCCAGGUUCCGCUAUUGGUUAUUGACCGGAGACGUUUCUCGCUCAUUCUACAUAGUUCUCGAACCCGUAGGGUCCGCACGCUUAAGGUUUCGAUGACAGUUAUAUUAUGAGUUUAUGAGUUUUGUUGUACCGAAGGAGUUCGGAGUCCCGGAUGAGAUCGGGGACAUGAUGAGGAGUCUCGAAAUGGUCGAGACGUAAAGAUCGAUAUAUUGGACGACUAUAUUCAGACAUCGGAAUGGUUCCGAGUGAUUCGGGUAUUUUUGGGGGUACCGGGGAGUUACGGGAAUACGAGGAAGAAGCAAUGGGCCUCAUGGGCCAAGUGGUGGAAGAGAGGAGGCAGGGCGCGCGACCCCCCUAGCCCAAACCGAAUUGGACUAGGGGGCCGGCCCCCCUUUCCUCCUUUUCCUCCCUCUCCUUCCUUCUCCUUCUCCUUCCCUUCCUUCCCCUCUCCUACUUGGACUAGGAAAGAGGGGGGGGGGAUCCUACUUGGAGUAGGAUUGCCCCCCUUGGGCGCGCCUCCUCCCCUUGGCCGCCUCUCCCCCCUUUUGCUCCUUUAUAUACGGGGGCAGGGGGCACCCCAUAGACACAACAAUUGAUCCUUGAGAUCUCUUAGCUGUGUGCGGUGCCCCCCUUCACCAUAAUCCUCGAUAAUAUUGUAGCGGUGCUUAGGCGAAGCCCUGCGACGGUAGAACAUCAAGAUCGUCACCACGUCGUCGUGCUGACGGAACUCUUCCCCGACACUUUGCUGGAUUGGAGUCCGGGGAUCGUCAUCGAGCUGGACGUGUGCUAGAACUCGGAGGUGCCGUAGUUUCGGUGCUUGAUCGGUCGGGUCGCGAAGACGUACGACUACAUCAACUGCGUUGUCAUAACGCUUCCGCUUUCGGUCUACGAGGGUACGUGGACAACACUCUCCCCUCUCGUUGCUAUGCAUCACCAUGAUCUUGCGUGUGCGUAGGAAUUUUUUUGAAAUUACUACGUUCCCCAACAGACAUGUCAUGGACAAAGGCACACAACGGUGUUGCCAGCACCGGGCAUGCGUUGACUGGGACCUGCACGAGCUGUACGCCAUGUCAAAGAAGUCGGAGAGGUCAGCAGAGAAGGACUCAACGAUGGUUGCGGCGCCAAUCGGCGCGAGGCAGAUGUCGCCCACGGUUGCCGGAGUAGACGAACUGGUCGUGGUAGAUGACGGCGACGCUGGUGACGGGCUGGUGCUGGACAAAGACGAAGGAGGUGGACGGGCGGCGGCGGCGGCUAGGUUAGGAACGCGGCAGCGAUGCUCGAAGUAGGCGAAGAACCCUGACAUCGUGACGAAGAUCGGCGCGGACGGUGGCGUUCCCGCGCCAAGGGAGGCGGCGCGGCGCAUACCAUGGGAAGUCGACGCACGGGGACGACGAAGUGGACCGCGGGCCGCCGCGCUUCGGCCUGACGAGGCGACGCGGUGGCGGCGGGCAUGUCGGGGCGACGGCGGGAAGACCUCGGGGCGGCGGCAGGGACCGCGGGCCGCGGCGCGACAGCCCGAAGGGGCGGCGCAGCGGAGGAGCGCGGGUCGGUGCAACCGCGGUGACGGCCUCGGGACGGUGGCGUGGACCGCGUGCCACGCUCGCUACGGCCCGAUGGGGCGACGCAGUGGCGGCGCGAAGGUCGGUGCGGCCACGGGGACGACCUGUAGCGGACGACCUCGGGGCAGCGAUGGACCGCGGGCUGUAGCACUACGGCCCGAAGGGGCGACGCAGCGGUGACGCGGGUCGGUGCAGCAGGGAGAAGAACCACGGGGCGGCGGCACUACGGCCCGACGGGGCAACACAACGGCAGCCCGAUGCUCGAUCGGUGGAGAGGCGCGCUGAACUCGGGGACGAUCUUCACGGGGCUUGCGAAGGCGCGCGCAACCAACGGGCCAGGUCGGUCGCACUGCAUAGCUGAGGCGGAUCGCGGCGGCGGGCGGGUGAUCAAUCCGAUUGCGUGCGAGGUCGUGGACGCCACUCGGUGGAGGCGGGGUGGCGGCGGAGUCCGAGAUGAAGCCGGCGACGGCGGGCGGCAGGGCGGCUAUGAUUGGCCGCCGCAUGGCGCGAGGCCGCCGGGGUCNNNNNNNNNNNNNNNNNNNNNNNNNNNNNNNNNNNNNNNNNNNNNNNNNNNNNNNNNNNNNNNNNNNNNNNNNNNNNNNNNNNNNNNNNNNNNNNNNNNNNNNNNNNNNNNNNNNNNNNNNNNNNNNNNNNNNNNNNNNNNNNNNNNNNNNNNNNNNNNNNNNNNNNNNNNNNNNNNNNNNNNNNNNNNNNNNNNNNNNNNNNNNNNNNNNNNNNNNNNNNNNNNNNNNNNNNNNNNNNNNNNNNNNNNNNNNNNNNNNNNNNNNNNNNNNNNNNNNNNNNNNNNNNNNNNNNNNNNNNNNNNNNNNNNNNNNNNNNNNNNNNNNNNNNNNNNNNNNNNNNNNNNNNNNNNNNNNNNNNNNNNNNNNNNNNNNNNNNNNNNNNNNNNNNNNNNNNNNNNNNNNNNNNNNGCGCGGACGGCGGCUGGCCCUGACGGGCCGCCUCGGCGCUGUGGCCGCCACGUCGGAGGAGAGGCCGGCUGGUCGCGCCGGGGUCGGAGUAGAGGCGCUCGAGGUCGAUGGCGGCGGUGGACGACGCAAACCGAUCAAGUAGAGAUCGGAAAACCAAAAAGAAUCCGCGCGAUCAAGAUGACCUGCGGGAGAGAGAAAAACCCCGGAGCAAGGCUCGGGGAAAAGACUCUCUAGGGCAGCCGGUCAACACGACCGGCGGACGAACCCUAGGUACGGGCGGGGCGGCCCCCGGCGGCGGUCAUGGAGGCCGACCGCACCAGGGGCGGCGCGCGGGUGCGGAAGCGGCGGCGGCUAGGGUUUAGGAUCGACUUGCGAUAGAUACCAUGUUAGAAGGGAGAGAGAGGUUGGUCGAAUCGUUUUGAUAUAUAUUGCUUGAGCCUCGUGGGCAUAUAUAUAGGAGUACAAUCAUCUACUUGGAGUACAAGACAAGCUAGAACAAAUCCUAAUCUAUCUCGUCUUUCCUAAUAAAUAUUAUACUCAACAAAAAAUAAGUACCACUUCAAAUUUUUGAAGUGACUUUUCUUAAGUUUUGUUGACCCAAGUAAUUGCUUAUUUCCAGGAUAUGACUCAACAUUGAUUUUAUCAUGCAAUUAAACUAAAAACUUAUUCUAUUGUCUCAUGUUUACCUUCCUAGCCUUAAUUACUUCCCAUGGCACACGGAUCCCUAAAUGGCAUCAUAUAUAUAGGAAACUUUAUGUUCUGCGAGAAUUUAAGUUUCUAGCUAUAGCUUUUUGGGAGUUUGAAAGCUAAGCUAUGACAUUUUGUACCACCAUCCUUGCUACGGCCGCUAUUUGGCAUAGCUCGCCAUCAGGUAUAGCCUAUAACUGAAGUUGUUUCAUUGUACUGUAUAUGGUUUAAAAACCUGCAAUCAAUUAUACUCGUAAAUUUAAUCCAAAAUGACAAUGUAUAUAACUAAAUAACAUGAAAAAAGUGGAAACACUAAAGGUAGUGUCACGAUCUUUAUUUGGCGGUUGCUUUACGUUGGAGCUUCGGCCUGGGUGGCGAUUGCUUCACGGCGACUCGUACCAAAGCUCACGUUGUCGCUGCCAUGCAAGAAAAUAAUCAUAUAUCCACAUGUUAUUUAAUUAAAACCGCUAUUGUAAAUAGCAUCCAUGAUUUAUCCCACAUGGCACUUUGCCUCAUUUUUUAUUUUCUUGUAUUGUUUCUCUUUCUUUUUUCUACUUUUUCUGCAUUUUUCGAGGUAUUUGGGCUUGCAGUGCCUAACGGGCCUAACAUGUCUACAGUGCCGAACGUGCUGUUGGGCUGGCCCGUGUUAUCAGGGGUGGCGUGGGCUGGGGCUCGCGGCACGGCACGGCCCGUGUAGCUGGCGUGCCGGGCCGGCCCAUCUGGCCAGGUUUUCUUCAGAUCCGCCUCCCCUGCCGGCCACUCUACACCGGCGAUUCGCCGGAAGAAAAUCCACCCCCAAAAUCUCCCUGGCGGCGCGGAGCACGGACGGCCGAAGCUGCCGCUGCUGCUUCUCGGUGCCGUGGCAGGCAUCGUCGCCGGCGCGGGGGGUUCGGUUCGGACGAGGAAGUAGUGGCACGGCGCCGGGGAUGGUGGGGGGAAAGCGGAGAGCCGGCGGGGGUGGCGGCGGCGACGCCGGUGACGCCGGUGACACCGGCAUGGAGCAACUUACUCACAGUGAGCGACUGCUGUUAGAUGACUACUUAAUCUAUCUGAAUUACCGCAUAAAGGAAGCCCCAAUUGCUUUCUUGCCAUGGCUGCCAUUGCUUUGCUUUGCCGGCCACUCAAGGAAGGAACCAGCUGCUCUUCCCCCCACCUAAAGGAAAAUUAAGAUGCGGAAUAAUGGCUUUCUUGCCAAGGAGCCCAAGCUAAGUACCCCCACCUAACCAAGGCAACACACACACACAUACUGUUGAUUAACCAAUCCUUGGCCUGGGCCUGAGAACAAGAAACAGAGACCAUGGCCAUCGUGCUGGAUGCCUUCGCGUCCUAUGUCGCUGACAUGCUCAAGCAGGUGGUGGAGGACGAGGUGGGGAUGCUGCUCGGCGUCACCGGCCAGAUCGACAAGAUGGGCGUCAAGCUUGGGGACCUCAAGAAAUUCCUGGCCGAUGCCGAGAGGAGACGCAUCACCGACACCAGCGUGCAGGGCUGGGUGACCGAGCUCAAGCGCGCCAUGUACGACGCCACCGACAUCCUCGACAUCUGCCAGCUCAAGGCCAUGGAUCACCAUGCAGCAUCACGCAUGGGGUGCUGCAACCCGUUGCUCUUCUGCUUGCGGAACCCCCUCUCCGCCCAUGAAAUCGGCACCCGCAUCAGGGCGCUCAACCAGAAGCUCGACGACAUCAAGGAGCGAAGCGCUGCCUUCGGCUUCGACCUUUGUUCGUACGAGGACUCUAGCAGCAAGGUACAUUCCUCUCGCUUGUCUACCAGCCGCGAGACGUCGUGGGAGCUCGACCGGUCAGGUGUGGUCGGGGAGAAGAUCAAAGAAGACACAAGGGCACUUGUAGAAAUCAUGGUGAGAAGACCUGAGGUAGAAACCAGCAAUGCAGACAACAACAGAGUCAUGGCUUUUGCCAUUGUGGGUGUUGGUGGGAUCGGCAAGACCACCCUCGCUCGGAAGGUCUUCAACGAUGAAGCCAUAAAUGCCAAUUUCGACACCAAGAUAUGGUUGAGUGUCAACCAGGGCUUCGACAAGGUUGAGCUUCUUAGGACAGCCAUCACUCUUGCCGGGGGAAAGCACCGUAGUGAAAAAGCGUUGGCAGUGCUUUGGCCAAUCCUUAGUGAUGCCUUGACAGGGAAGAAGAUAUUCCUGAUAAUGGAUGACGUGUGGAGCCAUGAAGCAUGGGGUGAUGUGCUUGAAACACCCCUUGUUAAUGAUGUGGCCCGAGGUAGCCGUGUCCUCAUCACUACUAGAGAUACAAGAGUUGCCCGAGGGGUGAAAGCUGUGCUUCCCUACCACCACGUCGACAAAUUAGAUGAUGAAGAUGCCUGGUCAUUGCUCAGGAAACAGGUUCGUUGUAAACUCGAUGCAUCUUCAAUAAUUACGAGCUAGCUGCUUAACUCCCUAUUUGGACAUGAGAUAAUAAUAAUAAUAAUAAUAAUAAUAAUAAUAAUAAUAAUAAUAGGGCAUACUCCUGUGUAUUUUUCACUAAAGUUACUAUAAGACAGACGCAUACAACAUAUGCACACCACACACACACACACACGAUGGCACAAUGUUUUAAUCAAAUCUAGCUUGAUGAGAGUGAACAGCUUCUCUCCCACAACGCUUGGCAAUUUAAUUUCAGUACCUUGGUUGACAGCGAAUCCCCACUUGCCGAUCUAUUGACCUGACAAUUUAAUUUAAAUAAUUUUUAAAUAAAACAAAAUUGGGGCUAGCCAAGAAAAAGUCGUUUAUUUUAUUUAAAGUUACACCUCUUCUUAUUAUCUCUAUUGGUUUAAACUGCUUGCAGGUAAUUUCAAGUGAGACAGAUAGACCUGAAGUUGAUAUGCUUAAGGAUAUUGGAUUGCAAAUUGCUGUAAAAUGUGGUGGUUUGCCUCUUGCUGUCAAAGUAAUGGGAGGACUGUUGUGUCAGAAGGAUAAACAACGCCAUGAAUGGAAUAUGGUUCUGAAUGAUUCUAUAUGGUCGGCAUCUGAAAUGCCUGAAGAGCUAAACUAUUCAAUAUAUUUAAGCUAUGAAGAUUUACCUCCUUCCAUCAAGCAGUGCUUUCUAUACUACUCCCUUCUCCCUAAAAGUGCAGUGUGGUAUAAAAAUAGCAUUAUUGGUAUGUGGAUUAGUGAAGGAUUUCUUCAUGGAACCUCUGCUGACUUGGAAGAACUAGGAAGCAAGUACUAUAAGGAGCUGAUUCUGAGGAACCUUAUAGAGCCAGUUACAAAAUGGGCUGAUCAGCAAGUUUGCAGCAUGCAUGAUGUUGUUCGCUCAUUUGCUCAGUUUGUGGCUAGAGAUGAGGCACUAGCAGCUCAGAGUGGAGAGACUGGUUUCAUUACUAAACUUAGUUCACACAAGUUCCUUCGGUUGUCUAUGGAAAAGAAAGUAUCAGAAUCAGAUGGGUUGGACUGGAGUUCCUUACAUGCACAAAAGACACUGAGAACACUAAUAUUAGUUGGCCCUAUAUCUAUGAAGCCUAGUGAUUCGAUUGUUGAUUUUCCCUGCCUACGAACUCUACAUACAGAAUCUGUAGAUGUUGCUGUAUUGGUUGAGUCUUUGGGGAAACUCAAGCACUUGAGGUACUUGUUCAUAUGGAAAUCCGAUAUAUCAAGUUUGCCAGAUAACAUUGGAAAUAUGAAAUUUCUGCAGUUCAUUUGCCUUGUAAAAUGCCAGCAAUCUGUGAAACUUCCACAUAGCAUUUUGAAGCUAGCGCAACUGAGGUAUCUUAACUUUCAUGACUCUAGUAUAAAUGGUAUACCAAAGGGGUUCAGUGUUCUAACAAAUCUAAGGAACCUGCGUGGGUUUCCAGCCCAGACAGAUGGUGUUUGGUGUAGUUUGGAUGAGUUAGGCCCUCUUUCUGAGCUCAGAUCUCUUGGAGUGCAGAGAUUGGAGAAUGUGUCUGUUACCUCGUCUGCGGCAAAGGCAAAGCUUGGUGAGAAAGUUCAUCUGACCCACUUGUUUUUAUACUGCAGCAGUAUAUUGGGAGAUGAUGGGCUGAUUAAAGAUGAAAAGGGUGUCUCUGAGGAAGAACAGCGACAAAUUGCGGGUGUGUUUGAUGAGCUCUGCCCUUCGCCUAGCUUAGAGUAUCUUGAUAUAAAUGGAUUUUUUGGCCGACGGCUCCCAAGGUGGAUGAUGUCAAGAUCAGCACCGGUCUUCAAGAGCUUGAGGAUUAUAUUCAUGCUUGAUCUAGCUUGUUGCACCCAACUACCAGAUUGCUUGUGUCAACUCCCAUGUUUGCAGGACAUUACGAUCCGUCGCGCUCCAGCCAUCAAGCAUGUUGGACAUGAAUUCCUGCAAUCCUACCAGACACCGGCUGCGUUCCCGAGAUUGAGGAAGUUGGAGUUAACUGGAAUGGUGGAAUGGGAGGAGUGGAAGUGGGAGGAGCAAGUGCAAGCCAUGCCUCUUUUGGAGGUGCUUGAGCUCGAAAAUUGCAGAUUGAGGUGUCUUCCUCCUGGCCUUGCCUCACAUGCAAGGGCUUUAAAGUCUAUAUCUGCACAAAAUAACCAGCACCUCAACUCACUAGAGAACUUUGCUUCUGCUGUUGAGCUGGAAGUGGCUAAAAACCCCGACUUGGAGAGGAUCACUAAUCUUCCCAAUCUGCGGAAGCUUGAGAUCGAGGCUUGCCCAAAGCUGAAUGUACUGGAGGGUAUUUGUGCACUCCAGAGGCUCGUAUUGGAGGAUUAUGCCAUGGAAACACUUCCUGGAUACAUGCAAGAUGUAAACCCAAGGCAUUUUGAGUUACGCUGCAGCCUGACGUUGCUCACUUCCAUAGCCGCGGGACAAUCUGGCCCUGAGUGGGAUAGGUUCAGUCAUAUCGACCAUGUCAAGGCAUAUGCACCUGAUGAGAACAAUACAAGGAAAUGGUACGUGUUGUACACGAGAGAGCCCUGCAGCUUGAUCACAAAUGUCCGUCACUCCAUAUCUGCAGGUAAAUUAGCACAACUGUGUCACCUUAUUUGUUGCUCCACUCUGUUCAUUUAACUCGUUCAGUUUAUUCAGGGGAUGAACAGGAGGACCAGCAAGUAAUUUCAUGAGGAAUGAAGAGCAACAAGAAGUAGGCAGAAGAUUUCAGCAUUCUUUUGCAUGGAUCUUCAUCAGAUCUUGUGGAGGUGCAUGGAGAGAGGUAGGUUCAUUAUUCAGCUUCGAACUAAUAGUAUAAUUUUGCUUCCGUUGAUGUAUUUCACUUUAGUGUUGGCAGUUGCAUGCCAAUUUACUCUGUAGUCCUCAUGAUUUCGACGACGAAGUUAGUAGCUAUGCUAUACAUGGAAAUUAAAAACCUUAUCCAUGAAACCCAGGUGCAUGGUCAUAUUUUGAUGUGUGUUAAACAUUGAUGCAGGCAGGUUGAAGGCAAGCAAGCUAGACGGGCCUUAUAACCAUCUUCACCUUGUUGGUUGGCCAUAUCAAGUGCAGUGCAGUGCGAUCCUCCUACAACAAAGAGAAGCUCAUCAUUUACAAAACUCUGCAGCAAGACCAGUACUUGUGUGUUGAUGCAACUACAAAAUACCUGUAACUUAUUUGAUUAUGCAUUGUGUGCAUGCUUGUGUGUUGAUGCAACUACAAAAUACACACCAUAGACUGUGGCGGAUCAAAUGGUUCUGUUUUGAUAAUUACCGGAGUCAUGCAAAGGAAAGGAAGUAAGCGAGGAGCGCAACUUCUGGUUAGUUGUACUAGUACUUUUCAACAAGUUAUUCUUGGUACCAGCGGUAGCAUUUGAAAGAUAAUACAUGUAACUUACUAUUUGAUUAUGUAUCGUGUGCAUGCGUGCAGCAAAGAAGAGAGGUGACUGUCUAGGCUGUACUUGUGACAACUAAAAACUAUUUGCCAGGAAGCCUUCAUGGUAAAGAAGAUAUUUCAAAGUCUUCGCUGUAUUCGGCAGUAGACAGGGAUUAAGUAGCAGAAAUGGCACCAACAAACACGCAUAUAUAGAUUAAAAAAAAGAUUUGGCACACAUAAAAGCAAACAGAGCAAUGAGCAAACGAGCAUGGAAGAAGGUAAGUUGUGAGACACAAACAAUGGCAGGAACUGAAGAAAGUAACCUAUGAUGAAAACUUAAUGGUAUUCUUGAUGAUGGACAAUGAGAAAGACUGCUCUCUCCCUUGUAAAUUAGAGAUCCGAAUCAGUAAGAAGAAUGAUGCUUCACAAGUAUUCACAGUACAGCCUACAGAAAAAUAAGGAGGCUCCAAAAGCAGAAGACUCAUACAGUGCAAGUGUUACAUAUGGUACAGAACUGAAAACUCUGCCUCAAUGUUACAGCAGACGUUGCGCACUCUUUAUUUGAAUUCAACAACAGAAAGGGAUUACAUAGCAGAAACGACACCGACAAAACACGCAUAGUGCCAUUAAUCAACAAAAAACAGUAUUAGCACACAUACAAAAGCAAAGAGAGCAAUGCAAAGCAGAGUCGGAUUGGCUUCCAGAAAUAUCAUAGUGAAUCAAACCAUUUCUUCCACUAUGUCAUCACUGUCAUGGUAACCGGCAGAUUGACCUUCGGCGCCACCAUUUGAUCUUGAUGGACCAGCUGCUUCCUCUUGGGCAGUGCUGACAUGAGAACUUGAAGGGCCAUCCCCAUGCUCUCCUCCGUUGUGGUGAUAAUGAUGAUCCGCCCUCUGCAGUUUGGCUGCCAAAGUCUCCAUCCCCAUGUAGUACAAUAGGAGCCAGACAUAGGUGAGGUACUCCACACCUGUGCCCAGACCCUUGGCGUGCAGGUAUCCUCUGCAUCUAGCGGCAGAGAAGCACAACAUCUCCACCCAAACGCCUUCGAUCACAUCCCACAUCUUCUCUUCAGGCAGAUUGGACAACACUCUGGCAAUGCUCCAAGCAUCACGGACAAUUCCUCCCUGUUGCUGCUGGGUACAACCCGGAGGUGGAGAUCCCCCACCAUCAACUGUAGCAUAUAUCAUCUGUGUAAGCCUUAUUUCCUCGUCUCCUUCGACGCUGGUGCCAUCUAUUUUCUCUCUUUCCUCGACAAUGUCCUUCAAUUCAUCGUAGGCGGUCGUGCAAAGGUUUCUUCUGGUUCCUGCCAUUAGCAUUUCAGGAUUCAAAAACAGUAGAUACAUCAUGUAGUUGGACAUUUCUCUGCACUGGAUGGCCCUCUUGUGAUGACCGGAUCUUUUGCACCAAGCAGGGCAUGCAUAAGCAUGAGGACAUGAAUCUUGCGUGCACAGCAGUCCGUGGUGAGAACGAGACACAACCGUGUCGUAGUAGCAGAAAUCCGUGGCGAGAUGCCAAAGAAGCACACUCUCGUCGAAUGCACCGUCCAAGCUCCAUCCCAAGUCCUCGUAACACCCUUCAUGCCCAAGAGUAAACUGGCCCCUGUUGUCAUUGAACUUCCUGUAACUGGAAACAUCUUUGAUGUGGUGCUUCCACCCAUCUUUCACAUACUGGAGCACUAACUUUGUAAUGCUGAAGGAUGAGGAGCAAGACUUCAUGUGCCAGUGUUGCUGAAGGAAGUCGGCGCAUCCCAAAACUCCGACGACCCUCAUCAUCUUGGAAUGUUUCCUGUUGCGGACAAGGAGUCCUACAAUGUUGUAUUGGGAAACCAUAUCAUGAUAUCGAGGCUUCACUUCUGUUGACACCAUAUCUGAUGACCUUUGACAGAAUUCUUCUGUGUCCCUUGUGAUGUUCGUUAGGACCGGGGCUAGAACCUCCAAUGCAGCAGUACAGUAUAGCAAGGUAUAUGUAAUCUUGACAUCGUCUUGACUAUAAACUUCUCGGUUACUGUAGUGGAAGAAGGCUAUGGGUGGAAUGUAGGAAGCUAAUAAACGGAGAAAAUAAAAAGAAAUAUUUUCUAGCUGCGCCCUAAGUUCGAAGUAAUUUCGGGAAGCGAAUAAGGAAAAAACUUGUCCGAGAGAAGCCACAGGAAACACCUUCUUUUUGGUGUAGAGGAGUAGGAAGGUGUUGGAGAGCCAAUGUUGCAGCUUACAAUACGCAUGGUUGCCAUCAAGUGUUGAGAAGGAGAGUAGCACCCUAAUCCGAUCUUCAACAGACGGAGAUGCAAGGUCCACAAAUAGCUUAUAAGGAGUAAAGUCCACCGGUGUGGCCGAUGUUAAAAGAUACUCACUUGCCCCGAUAGGACUUGUUGCCUUGUCAAUGAAAUCUUCAAGAGGAUCAAUCCUAAGCUUAUGUGUGUGUAUUGACCUCCGAAUAGGCUCACCCAAGCUCACCAGGCUGUUAAUGCUAGCUCGGUUGAGAGCCAAGGGCUUCUCGAUGCAUUUGAGUAUACCGGGAAUGAAGAGCGCUUGUGCAGCAGCCAGCAGAAUUUUGGGGAAGCGGCCUUGCCAUGAUUUCCAGAAGACGUAGACAGCCACGGUGACCUGAGACACUGAGGUGAGGAUGUGCCGCGUCCAUAGCUCGUUGUCCUCGAUGUUGUAGGCGGUUAUGCCGUCCUGUCCACCGAGGUGUAUCAGGAGGAUAGGCGCCCACAACAGCUCCAGGAUUCCUUCAUCUCCAUCGUUUUGUGGCUUCCUAUGGCGGUUGAAGAGGGUGGCGAGCCCAUAGAUUGCAAUGGCAUCACUGCCAAGGUAUGCCAGCCAGAUGAUGGGUCUAAACCAGGAUCUGAUGGGGUACCUACGCGCGACGGAACCGACGAGGAGGAUGUACUGAAUCACCAGGCUAGCAAUGACGAGGAUGCGUAGCUGCGACUCCUCCCACCACUGAAGAGCGGCUGAGACACCCGCCAUCAGUUCUCCCUUGAUCUCUCCUCUCUGCCACACACGAACACUAGCUAAGUAGCUGGUCCAUUUCAACCUCGCUCGUUGAAUUUAUUGUAAGCACGUGAAUGCACUGACAGUCUACCAAUCGACAACCUGAAAAAAAAAAGAGAAGAUGCAUUAAUUCGUUAUUGCACUGAACAGCUAGCUGCAAAUCGCUCCCGUGCAACCCUCUCAACUCGUACCUGAAUACGUGGUGCAACUCGCUUGGUACAUACACAGUGUCGGCCUGACGCACUGACGAUGAACAGUGGAUUAUUUCCUCUUCUCCGCGUCGUCGAUCUGGACCUGAAAGAGGAGAAUGGAUUCACGGAGGUGAGCCUGACCAUUGCUGCACCAAACAAGCAGCUACAGAGCGAGAGCGUCCGCAGUGGCGCAGGAGGAGAUGGAAGCAGGGAACGAGGGGACUAGGCCGUACCUCGCGGGAUGGAUCCGGCCGCCGAGUAAACUGGGAUGUGGCCGUCGCCAAGUAACCCCGGCGCCUCGCCAGGUGAGCACAAGGGAGAUGGGAGCUCGGACGCCGACGACGCGUGCGGCGCGAGACGAGGGCGAGGCAGCACUGCAGCAGUGGAAUGACAAGAGAAGGGAGGUGGCAGCAGUGGGUCGUCGUGGUCUGGCCAAAAAAGCCGUCUCGUGCGCAAAAAGAAAACAGGGUGUGUCGGCCCUCUCCUAUCUUGCUUGACAAGAUGCUUGAUGCUUCAAGAUAAGAUCGAGGUUGAAUAUAUAUUUUCAGUAUUUAAAAUUUUCAUGCUUUGAACACAUGCAUGACACAUCGAAGAAACUUUGUGAAAGUUUCAUGUGGCCGGGGCGGAACCAGGAUUUGACCAUAGGGGAUAAUGAUCAUACAAAGAGAAGCAAAAGAUAAUAUGUAUUUUGCAAUUAAAAAAAUUUGGAUUUUCCAUUAGUAUGAAUGUGGCUCUUACACCUAAAACACAUAGAACAAAGUCGACUAUCUUACAUGGCGCGCUUUCAAUUAUAGCUUGUUGUGUAAAUUAAUUUUACUCGUGCUAGAAUUUUCGAUCGGUAGUUUGUACACCAACUAAUUUUAGAUAUAAGCUAUCAUUUCGUUUUUUGUGUUGAACUAAUUUGGCUCGUUUUAUAUAGCGAUUUGGCUCAUUUUUGUAUCAUGACAGUAAACUAUGUUUGUACCCCUAGAUAUAUUACUCUCAUCGAAUCAAUCAUGUCUGCCCCCAAAAAAACCAAGUUCGUGGAUACUGAAGAUGCCUUGUUAUCGAACGAUAAGUUUGAAUGCCUUAUCGAACCAAGUUCGUGCCCUACUCUUCCUCCCUUUGGGUAGAACAAAGGACAUUGGCUCAUGUCCAUCAUCAUCAUCCUCAAACAGCAACCCAUCAUCUUCUUCAUCUGAUGAAGGAAUGAAAUCAGGUUGCACCUCCUCCAACACACUUGAAUGUGUCCUAGUAGUAGGGCCUCUCCUAACUGCCAGCUUCUUCCUCUUUUUUGGUGGUUUUUCCAUUGGUGCUUCUUCUGUUGCAACAACAUUGACCUCAUCAUCUUUCUCCUUCUCCUGCUCCUCCUCCUCCAUGUCAAACAAGUCCUCAACCUCAGUGUCACCCUUAUAAUGUAAUUGUUCCUCUUCUGAAUCCUCAUCAUCUUCAUCUGAAUCUUCAUCUUCAACUUCUUGCUCUACUAGUCUAUUCCCCUCAAUUAUCUCUGUGUCUUCAAUUAUCCUGUACUUCUCCAAAAGGAUUGUUAUCACUGUCAUAUGCAGCAGCCUCAGAGUCAUCACUGUUAUUAUGUUCCUCCUCUAGCACUACCUCUUCCUCCAUUACAGCUUUGAGCUUCUCCUUACUUAAACUUAUGCUCUCUUGUGUGCACUGACUAUGAAAAACAACACCUUGUUGAUCAACAGCAAGAACUGCAGGCUCACUAAGAUCAUACACAACAGGUGGUCUAUACAAUAUAGUUGCUAAAUUUUCUUCUCUCCUCUGACAGACAUUGUUGUAGUUUGAUCUCACUAAAUCUGCUUUCAUCUGACAUACAAAAGGUGUUGUUGCCCUCACUAGCAAAUUCAGAAUUAAACUAUGCUCAUAUUCCUUCUUAAGUUGCUGCAGUUUGAUGUUUGUGUCAAUUAACUCUAACCCAUGCUCUCUUUCCUCUCCUCUGCCUAAAUUCUUCAUGUGAUACAGUUCAUCAGAGAAAGAAUAACCUUGUGUGUGCAUCAGUGCAUAUAAGUUCAGAAAUGUAACAUCUGAACUGCAUAUCUUCCUAUCCAAAUUGUGUUGUGCAUCAAAAUGAAGACGAACAUCCCAAACAGCAUCAUCCAAACUAUAAUUGACAGCACAAAUUUAUACUGUCAUGAGCAACACUAACCCUAGCCCCCUGUUUUGGGAAUUUACAGAAAGAAGCAGAAGCAGAGAAGAGAAGGACUUACAGCACGCCGCCAGCAGCUCCACUGGUCCACUGAUGGCUACUGGUUGGGUGGGCCACCCAUAUCUCUGCCAGCUUCACCCUGUCCUCCAUGGACAGCGCGGGCUCCUCAUCCAAAUCCUCGUCGUCUGCGCUGGAGUAGUAAGAACUAGAGCCGUCGACGUCGUCCAGACCUAAGUGGUCAUCGGGGCCGAGGCCAGGAAGGUCCCCGUACCCGCCCGCGCCGUCCACGCCGCCGGGAGUCGCCGCCGACAUCGCCUGAGAGGGGGGAGGAAGACGAGGGCGGGGGAGGGGGGGAGAGGGAAACUAGGGUUCGUCGCUUAUGGGUUCGACCGGACCGGACCAAGCUACUUGGUGCGACCGAGCCGGCUGGGACGAGUGACCGAGCGGGUGCGGGUGCAGGUGCGCGCGGGUAGGCCACAGUGACACCUGACAAAUGGGCCCGGUCGGUCAGAUACGUGGUCAAUACGAGCUUAUACUGCUGUCCGACCGUUUUGCAACACUUAGACUUAGAGUUGGCACUACAUGGCAAAAAAUUGACUAGUGGUACUGACUCGUCACAACGUGCUAAAGUGUGGUAGCAUCUUGCAAUUAACUCUGCGCUCUCUCUCCUGUCCACAUACAAAGUACUGACCUGUCAUCUCUCUGCUGUCUACAUGCAGGUACUGUAGUCACGUGAGUUUGCAAGGAGCUGAAGCAGAGAGAGAGCGCCUUUGUGCAAAGUUUUUUAAGAACAUUAAGAGAGAGAGAGAGUUGCAGCUGACCCAGAGAGAAGUAUCGAGUGCAUUGUAUACUUUUGAGUGAGAGAACCUGGAACCUGCAUGGGAUAUUUAGUUAUUAACAGAGAGAAAAUAUUUCUUUUAAACUCUGAAGAGAGAUAGCAGGUGACUGCAUGAGAGAGAACUCGGCUUUUUCAGAGAAAUAGAAAGAACGUUUCUUUUACACAAGUGGAAAAGAGAGCCUGUGUGAGAGGAGAGAGGUUAUUGUUUGUUAAAAAAGUAUGUGAGAGAGGAAGCUUGGGUGCAUGUGCAUGUGAGACAGCUUUUAACAGUGAGAGACAUGGCAUGGGGUAAAGAGAAGUGAGUUGUCUUAUCGGUCAAUAGUAACCAGCCUGUACUGCUGCGCCUCUAUUAAAAUGAUCAAAUGGCCUGGACAGACAUGCUUACGCUGCAAAUCCUCUGUGGCUUGUCAGAACAGGGUACGAAUCUUGGCGAGGCUCAACGUACAGGAUAACCGAGGGUCGGGACUCCCGGGUGCUACCACGCUUUUUCGAUUUUCAGUAUUGAAAAUUUUCAUGCUUUUUCAACACAUGCAUGAAACAUCGAANNNNNNNNNNNNNNNNNNNNNNNNNNNNNNNNNNNNNNNNNNNNNNNNNNNNNNNNNNNNNNNNNNNNNNNNNNNNNNNNNNNNNNNNNNNNNNNNNNNNNNNNNNNNNNNNNNNNNNNNNNNNNNNNNNNNNNNNNNNNNNNNNNNNNNNNNNNNNNNNNNNNNNNNNNNNNNNNNNNNNNNNNNNNNNNNNNNNNNNNNNNNNNNNNNNNNNNNNNNNNNNNNNNNNNNNNNNNNNNNNNNNNNNNNNNNNNNNNNNNNNNNNNNNNNNNNNNNNNNNNNNNNNNNNNNNNNNNNNNNNNNNNNNNNNNNNNNNNNNNNNNNNNNNNNNNNNNGAGGGGCGGAGCCAGGAUUUGACCACAGGGGAGGAAGACAAUGAACAAUUACCAUUUUUGGGUAAUGAUCAUACAAAGAGGAGGGGCGGAGCCAGGAUUUGACCACAGGGGAGGAACACAAUGAACAAUUACCAUUUUUGGGUAAUGAUCAUACAAAGAGGAGGGGCGGAGCCAGGAUUUGACCACAGGGGAGGAACACAAUGAACAAUUACCAUUUUUGGGUAAUGAUCAUACAAAGAGGAAGACAAGAUAAUAUGUAUUUUGCAAUAAAAAAAAUUGGAUUUUCCAUUAGUUUGAAUGUGUCUCUUACACCUAAAACGCAUAGAACAAAGUCGACUAUCUUAUAUGGCGCGCUUUCGAUUAUAGCUUGUUGUGUAAACUAAUUUUACUCGUGCUAGAAUUUUUGAUCGGUAGUUUGUACACUAACUAAUUUGAGAUAUAAGCUAUCAUUUCGUUUUUUUUUGUGUUGAACUAAUUUGACUCAUUUUAUAUAUCGAUUUGGCUCAUUUUUGUAUCAUGACAGUAAACUAUAUUUGUACCCCUAGAUAUAUUACUCUCAUCGAAUCAAUCAUGUCUGCCCCAAAAAAAACCAAGUUCGUGGACACUAGAGAUGCCUUGUUAUCGAACGAUGAGUUUGAAUGCCUUAUGAAAAAUGAUAUGUUCUUGCAUGAUCGUAUAAGGCCAAUCACAUAACCUUUGUACUUAAUAAUUGCAAGUGAGUGGGCUUCAAUUAUUGUUCGAUUGUGCCUGUGUUAUAUUAUCUCUAGAUGUAAAAUUUAUCAUGCAUUAUCUUUGUAUAACUCUAGCAAAAUAUUUUAAAAGCCCGUGGCAAUGCACGCGGAUUCUACUAAUUGUGCUUAACUACUAAGGUGUGAUGUUAGUUUUUCUAUUUUGGGAGUGAUGAUGUGAUCCUUGUAUAAUCUGCAUUUGACAAGUGUAACCAUCACGCAUGCACGCGCUUAACGAACCCUGCGAACCACACCUGGUACAUCUUUGUGAAGGCGAGUACUAGGGGGCAGCACGGGGUUGCAGAAGAAAGUGAUCGAGAGCUCUGCAGCUGCAAACGAAGGCGUGGCGCUGCUGCUGGAAGGAUGCUAGUGUUUCACAAGAUGGCUUGGUGAAUAAUUUGAGGUCCAAGUUAUUUUCUUAGGAGUUGAGGCGCAAAUAGUUGAAGAUGUAGGAAAUGUAUCAUUCCGGAGAAAUUAAAAUGAUUUGAGAACAUCCUUGUAGAAUUGGAAACCGUUCUCUACAGGUUUUCCUUUUCACCGGUGUUUGGCCAACAAGUGGAUAGCCGGAUUGCAGCUACCAACCACCGUUUCUCUGCUGUUUGCACCAAUAGCUAGAAAGGUGCAGCGCUGAUAAAAAGGAAAACCUGUAGAGAUAGCUAGAAAGGUGCAACACCGAUUCACAGCAGGCCGCGGAAUAGGCCGGUCUAUUGUAUUUUUUUUUAUCAAAAGGGGUUUCCCCGCUCCAUUUUAUUGAAACGGGCACACAACCCACGCCGACAGUUUAUAGUUCUCGGAUCUAACCUAGAGUAACAGAAUCAGAAUCGUUUAAAAGGUUUACAUCUCGACAUAGCGAGCAAAGGCUCAAAACAGGCCAACAGGGAACCAAAGACACAAAAACUACUCAUAACUGAAUCAGCCAGUGUGCGCCUUCAGCAUGAAGCCUCCCAGCCUGUCUUCUAGCUUGCCUCUCAGUCCCCUGUCCAGGCUAUUCGCAGCACGUCGCCUCCUCGAUGGUCCAGGAGCAGGAGACAACGCCGUAGAAGCACAGACUGAUCUCCCCCACGUAGAAGCACAGACAACACCGUAGAAGCCGUGUACUGGCCUGGGAGCCAUGCACUUCCACUUUAUCCUUUAAGGUUCUGGAUGAUACUCUGUCUGUGUUCUGUGGUUGGUCGAUAUGGUUUGUGUUGACUCUGCCUGGUGACUUUAUUUAUAAAGUCGGGCUCUGGCCUUUUCUCUAAAAGAAUCUUCCACUGAUGUAGCAGAGAGCACAACUUUCCCGUAACUAGUGGUUGGGGCGUCACCCUGUGGCGCCGCUUAAGAGGAAGUUGUGCGCACAUUUUCAUUUUUUCUCAGAAAAAAAUCCUCGCCUUCAUCUAAAAAAAAGUAAAGAAGAAAAAAAUUACCACCGUAGCUUACCAGCGAGUGCUGCUUUGUAUAAUCCUCCAUUUAAAAAAUACCAGAGCUCCUCAUCUCCAUCUAAAAAGAAUAAAAUACAUAUAAAAAAUCUACACAUUCAUCUAAAAUAAUUACAAAAGAGUUCUCACCGCGGCCAACUAGCUUGCGCCAUGUGGCAUAGCUGGUUGGCCUCCUUUCCCGCGUAGCUUAAUGGGUUUAAUUGCCCUGGUGCUUGUCCACGACACACCCUGAAAACAUAGAUGGUUACGCGUAGUCCAGAUGCUCUAAAUGGUAGCAACACAAGCAAUGACAAUCACACUUUUCUUAUUAUUAGUAUCCCAAAGGGCAGAAAGCUCCCCCAUACUACCCGGUUUUUGAAAUCCAAAGAUCUCAACAACAUCUUUCCAAAUGUCACCCGCAACCACACAAUCGAAGAACAGGUGAUUAACAGUUUCACUCUCACAACAGAAAAGACAAGUCACAUCAUUCACAUGUCGUCUCUUGCACAAAUUGUCUCUGGUGAGGAUUUUAUUAUGAUAGGCUAACCAUAAGAACACCAAAUACCUAUGUGGUACCCGAAUUUUCCAUAUUUUUUUUCCAUAUAGGGGUAGAAACCCCACCCCACUUAAUCAUCUCAUAAAAUGAGCUCACACUGUAUGUCCCAGAUGCUUCAAGUGUUCAUACAUGGUGAUCUUCCUCACUAUUUGGUUUCUUAUUGCAAUCACUUGGGUUAGAACAUCCCAUCUAGCGAGGAAUUCUUCAUGAACACAUCGGUUGAAGGAAAGUUUCAGGGUUUCCCCAUCCCAAAUCUAGGAGACCUUACAGUUUUGUUGCUGACAAAUCUAAAAAAUGUCCCAAAAUUGUGUCUUAAGGGAGAUAUCUCCGACCCAAUUGUCAUGCCAAAAACUAAUUUGCUUGCCAUUACCUAAAGUCCACCUAUAAAAAGGUCUUGCAACAGCCAAAGCCCAAGUAAAACCUUUCCGGAAAGGUGAGUGUUAUGGCGCUGCUAGAAGGAGCGCGCGAGAGGGCCGGCCGGGGGCCUUUUUGCCCAUGGUCGGGCAAGAGGGAAGGGGAUUUCCUUCUUAAUUCUUGCUUGAUUAGAUUGAUAUAUCUCCUCUCUUUAUAUAGAGAGAUUCACUUGACUCCCAAGCAAGGCUUACUUGACCCCUAAGCAAGUUACCCUUAUCUCUAAUUAACCCUAAGACUAAUGGGCUAUACUGCCAGCCCAGGCCCAUUACGUACUCUAACACUACACCCCACCUGGACAUGCAACUUGUCCUCGAGCUGCAGUCUAACCAACUUAUAAUCAUGACUCGACGAAACACAAACCUAACACCUAAAAACAAGCCUUUUACAUCUCUGCUUGUUUUAUUACUCUCAACCUGAAAUGGACUGGGACGCUUUAUUUUGGACCCCUUAAAAAAGUGGACACCAUCCGUACAUCGGAGGUGCACAUGUACAGCCACAUGGAUCCCAUGGACACCAUCUGGAAAAAAGGAGUGCAUGUGUAUGGCCACCUGGAAGUGGUCGCAAGAGCGACCAACAGAGGCGCCCUCGCGGCCGCCGCCGGCGGAAUGCAGUGGUGCUACGCAGUGUGAUCCUGUCGGUGACACCCUGCCUUCUCCCCGCCGAAUGGCUAUUGGUCUGCGGCGCACAGGGAAGAGUGGAGGGCUUGCGAUGGAGAAUGACGAGGAGGGGUGCGCCGCCCCCCCCCCCCAACCGCCGAUGUCGCAGACUUUGAGGUCGCUGCCCGCGGAGAAAAUAGCAUGCCCAAGAUCCCCGACGCUGCGGACGAGAUCGAGGUCCUUUGCGCAGCGAAGUGCAACUGGGAGGAGUGGCAGCUGUAGAGCACGCAUCUCCUGCACACGCCGACGCGCUAGGAUGGCAGCUGCAAAUAAGCUAUCGUUGAAACUACAAAGUAUAUACAAUGAAGCAAAUAAGCUAUCUAUAUGUAUGCAUUCAAAAAAUACAACAACAAAAAGUUGGUGAAAUUUUAUACCUUUGGGGCAUUUCCUCGAACACCUUUUGCGCGUCGGCCGCCGGCUCAACAAGUGAGCUCGCCGGCGCUUCGGUAGCCGCCGCACCCGUCGCACGCACUGCAAGCUUCUUCCUCGACAGCUUCGAGGAGCCGGAGCCGUCCGCCGCCUUGUUCUUCUUCGCUGAUACCUUGACCUUCUUCGGUUGCGCCACAUUUGGGAGCUUUGAGAGGAUGGCUCGUGGCUUCAGGGCGGGCGCCAGCGCGACGCCAUCCGCCGCCGAGGUCAUCCGUGGCGGCAUGAAAAGGCCGCGUGCUAUGUCGGUUCUUGAAGGAGCUCCGGCGAAGGCGAAGCCAAAGCUCCCCCUCUAGGGUUUGCGGCGGCGGCGGAGGGGUCGCGGGAGUAGGAAGGGGUGAGGGGGGUGCCAGCGCGGGCGUCCAUCGGGUUGAUUCGCCAGUGGCGGCGCGGACGGGGCGAAGGUGGCGUGGCAGAGAGAGUGCGGCGCGAGCGCUCGAGUGUGCGGCGCGCGGAAGCGGGCAUACCAAAUACACAGCGCGCGAUGGCGAUUCGGACCAUGCGCCCAACUCUAUAUGCCGCGCAUGCUUAUUGUGCAUCCGCUGGAGCCCCUAUAUCGAUUGCGCGCACACUAAAAAGGACAAAUUUGCGGCGCGGCGCUUAUUUAGUGCGGUUGUUGGAGAUGCUCUAAGCAGUGCAGCGGCUUCGGUCGCCAGAGGUCGAGAGGAGUGAGGGGGUGGGUGGUCGAUGGGGAUUUUUCGGGAGGGCUGGCUGGGCUGGGUCGUUCGAUGUCUGAUGGGCCGUCUGGGAAUGAAUCCUUUAAAUUUUUAUUUACUACUCCUUUGCUACAAUCAGUUUCCUUAAUUUUGGAAUAAGGAAACAAUUCGGAUUUUGAUUUCUCCUUGUUUUCAUUCAACAAUGAAUUUAUAGUACCAAUUUUGGAACACACGCUGUCAAGAAAUAGGCAUGUACAUACUCUCUAUGCAUGGCAAUGUUAAUGUGCUAGUUUAUUUGGGCUGAGCUGAGUCCUGAAGGUAGGACGCACAAUCUUCUUUGAAACAAAUGCCCUUUGUAGUUAACUUGGCAGUGGUAGUAGCAUCAUUUAGAUUUCUAAUGCAAUCCAAUAUUUCAAAAAAAAUUUGUUGGCUAAGUACACCUCUAUGCAACUUCCACAACAGAAUAUUCCAAACUAUAGAAUGGUCUCAGUGUACCAGUUUUUCGAAUCUCCAUUGAAAAACUUGAAGGAAGAUGCUCCCCAAUGGUCGUCAACUAUUUUAAAAACUACUUUGACUUAUAUGGAGAACAGUAUUAGUAUUGUAAAACUUGACCAAGAAAGCUGAUGUGUAACAGCUAUUUUUUAAUAGUGUUAAAACAAUAUACCUUUCCAUAUGUAGCUAUGAUCUCCAAAACGAGUAACAACUUUUUCAUAUCAGAGUUAUCGCUACCUAGUAAGUAUAUGUAUAUGUUUACCUAUGAUAUGCUUUCGGAAAGUUUAAUCGUAUAUGUUUUGUAGCUCAUGCAUUGCUACCAUUUUCAUGAGCAUGGAUCUGUUACAAUGGGAUGAAACAAAUUAUGAGGCUGUGUGAUGUAAAUGUGGAUAUAUAUCACAGGCGCACAGCUUUGGGCUUUCGAGCGAUCCAGGAAGGUAAACCUGGAACAUAAGAACUUGAUUGAUGUCAGGGCCGGCCCUGAGGGGGUGGCAGGGGCGCGGCCGCCCAGGGCCCCCCUCCAGGGUUCGCAAGGAGCCCAUGGCCCAGACCAUAAGGAGGCAUCGACCUAGACGCACGGAGAAAUCCCUGUUUUCCUUCUUCCCAUCGCGAGUUCGCUGCUUCGCAACGAUUCUAUUGAAGGAAAUAUGCCCUAGAGGCAAUAAUAAAGUUAUUAUUUAUUUCCUUAUAUCAUGAUAAAUGUUUAUUAUUCAUGCUAAAAUUGUAUUAACCGGAAACAUAAUACAUGUGUGAAUACAUAGACAAACAGAGUGUCACUAGUAUGCCUCUACUUGACUAGCUCGUUAAUCAAAGAUGGUUAUGUUUCCUAACCAUGGACAAAAGAGUUGUUAUUUGAUUAACGAGGUCACAUCAUUAGUUGAAUGAUCUGAUUGACAUGACCCAUUCCAUUAGCUUAGCACACGAUCGUUUAGUAUGUUGCUAUUGCUUUCUUCAUGACUUAUACAUGUUCCUAUGACUAUGAGAUUAUGCAACUCCCGUUUGCCGGAGGAACACUUUGGGUGCUACCAAACGUCACAACGUAACUGGGUGAUUAUAAAGGAGUACUACAGGUGUCUCCAAAGGUAGAUGUUGGGUUGGCGUAUUUCGAGAUUAGGAUUUGUCACUCCGAUUGUCGGAGAGGUAUCUCUGGGCCCUCUCGGUAAUGCACAUCACUUAAGCCUUGCAAGCAUUGCAACUAAUGAGUUAGUUUCGGGAUGAUGUAUUACGGAACGAGUAAAGAGACUUGCCGGUAACGAGAUUGAACUAGGUAUUGGAUACCGACGAUCGAAUCUCGGGCAAGUAACAUACCGAUGACAAAGGGAACAACAUAUGUUGUUAUGCGGUCUGACCCAUAAAGAUCUUCAUAGAAUAUGUAGGAGCCAAUAUGGGCAUCCAGGUCCCGCUAUUGGUUAUUGACCGGAGACGUGUCUCGGUCAUGUCUACAUUGUUCUCGAACCGUAGGGUCCGCAUGCUUAACGUUACGAUGACAGUUAUUAUGAGUUUAUGCAUUUUGAUGUACCGAAGGUUGUUCGGAGUCCCGGAUGUGAUCACGGACAUGACGAGGAGUCUCGAAAUGGUCGAGACGUAAAGAUUGAUAUAUUGGAAGCCUAUGUUUGGACAUCGGAAGUGUUCCGGGUGAAAUCGGGAUUUUACCGGAUUACCGGAAGGGUUACCGGAACCCCCCGGGAGCCAAAUGGGCCUACAUGGGCCUUAGUGGAAAAGUGAAAGGGGCUGCCAUGGAGGGCUGCGCGCCUCCCCCCUCCCCUAGUCCUAUUAGGACUAGGAGAGGUGGCCGACCACCUCUCUCUCUCUCUUUCCCCCUUGGAGUCCUAGUUGGAAUAGGAUUGAGGGGGGAGUCCUACUCCCGGUAGGAGUAGGACUCCUCCUGCGCCUCCCUCCUUGGCCGGCCAGCCCUCCCCCUCUCAACCUUUAAAUACGGGGGCAGGGGGCACCCCAUGACACACAAGUUGAUCCUUGAGAUCGUUCCUUAGCCGUGUGCGGUGCCCCCUGCCACCAAAUUCCACCUCGAUCAUACCGUUGCAGUGCUUAGGCGAAGCCCUGCGUCGGUAGUACAUCAAGAUCGUCACAACGCCGUCGUGCUGACGGAACUCUUCCUCGACGCUUUGCUGGAUCGGAGCCCGAGGAUCGUCAUCGAGCUGAACGUGUGCUAAGAACUCGGAGGUGCCGGAGUAACGGUGCUUGGAUCGGUUGGAUCAGGAAGAAGACGUACGACUACUUCCUCUAUGUUGUGUCAACGCUUCCGUUGUGAUCUACAAGGGUACGUAGAUCAGAUUCUCCCCCUCGUUGCUAUGCAUCACCAUGAUCUUGCGUGUGCGUAGGAAAAUUUUGAAAUUACUACGUUCCCCAACACCUAUUCCCCCGAGGGCCCCGAUCGCAAGUCGCAACGCAGAUGUAGAUUGCUCUCUGCCAUGCGGCCGGCUGUUCUUCCUCUAGGUCCCCGGUCCCGUUGUGUUAUGCCCCGUCCGUGAGAUGCCUCUCAUGUGCAAGACGAAGCCACCCCACUUAUAAGGUCAUCCCUAACCUCCUCUUUCUAGUUGGUCACGUUCAUAUGGUGCAACAGCAGUCAGAUCUUAGAAGGUUUCGCAUAUGAUGCAGUACAAAAUUUUAAUUUUAUGUGCCCGUUGCUCUAUUUCUUACUUCAGUCUAGACUUUGUCGGCACAACACCAAUCGCCUUAUCUAUUGAAAAAGUUGCCUGUUAUGUGUUCGAUUGUCGUUCUUUGCAUUCUCUCUCCAAAUCAUCAUGAUUGCAAAUUUAACUUAAAAAUUGGAAGAAGGUCUCAGCUAUACACACAUAACUUCAAUCCAAAAAGAAAUGAGACUCAGACUCCCGUAGUCGUCGGGUAGGUAAAUGAUCUUUUAUUAUUGCAAAUGAAGCUUUUAAACUUUAAACAUUUCAUCUUGAUGUUUGCCCUCUAUCAGGUAUUCGAUUUGUCUAAUUAAGUAAAGGAAUACACUACUUACAAUUUUUGUUUUAUUUUGAAACAAUAGACAAUAAUAAGUUAGGUAAAGGAAUGAAUCUAAAAAGAAAUGAGAUUAUUAUUUUGAUCUUUAUAGUAGGGGCCCCGGGUUGUAAUUUCGCCCUGGGCCCUCGAAAUAUCAGGACCGGCCCUGAUUGAUGUCUCUAUAGUCUGAAACUCAAUGCGACCAUAAUUAAUUUCCUUCUACCAAAUUCCUUUCAUUCCCAUCUAUAAAAAGUUUCUUUUUAUGCACGUUCAGUGCUCAAUUCAAGUAGGCUCACCAAGGGAUACCUAAUUUUUUUGACAUUUUGGUGCAAAGUAGCUUAAUUUGCCUCUCCUACUGUUUUCUUCAGAAUUAGAUGUUGAAAAUGGUGUUGGAACUCUAUUUGAUUUUUGCUGCAUUCUUAGUUGUUAUUAUUGAUCAACAACGAAAGAGUUGAUAAAAUUCAAAUUUAGUUCUCAAUUCUUUUCGGUUCAUUUAAUUAUAAAGAUAUGUAUUCCUAGGUCGACGGUGGUCCAACCGCACCCUUCUUUAAAACAAUAGGGUUUGGAGUCCCAUGUGUUACAAAUUUCAUACCAUUUAAACGAAACAUAGAAAAGAACAAGCUAUGUUUAUCUAUGACAUUAAGCAACAACCAAUGUUUAUCUGCCGCAUUUAUAAAAAGAAAUCUUUAGCUACAGCAUUAAAACUAACCCAAUCUUUAGCUACAACAGUUAAGGCUUCCCUAUCUUUCGCUACAACAUUUAAAAUUAGACAUGACAUUUAAGACUUCCCUAUCUUUAGCUACAACAUUUAAGACUAGACGAUAAAGUCACUAGCUAUGUUUGGCAAUGUAAAAAUACAACAAUUUGGAUAACCCAUUCAAUUAGUGUUUGUUACUGAUGAGUAAUUACAAUACUAGUUACAGUUCUGCUAUAUAUAUGGACCAGGGCAAGUAAUGGAUACAUAUAAAAACCCAGUGAAUUUCUCACACAAUGGGGAAGCACAUCAAGCACAAUGCCCAACUUGUUGUCUUGCUUUCCAUGGUUCUUCUAAGUUGCCUGGUUUCUUCAGUCGUACAAGGUAAUGAACAAUUGUAAAUAAUUAUUUCAUGAAAUUUCAGUGUUCAUCCUUAUGUUUAAAGUUUGUUUUGUCAACCUUGAGUACUCACCCCUUGGAAAGAUCUAGAGUGGUUUUCUACAUAGGCAUUAUCUACAUGUUCAUAUACAAAAUGAAAUUACCUUCAUGUUGAGAUGAUAUAAAUCUAUUUGUUUUUCACUUCAGGACAGAGCAUUGACGACAAGGGGAGCAGCACAACGACUAUACGACCUAACGAUGACCCCGACUGUGUGAGAGAGACGAAGUUGAAGUGGCCGCGGAAACGACAGUACUGCUGCAACUAUUUUGCAUAUACUGGUCCAUGCUACGAUGACUAUACUGUCUGCAAAGCCCAUUGCCCGUGAUUCAACACAAUUCCCAUGAAUAGUUUUCAUGUAAUAAGGAAUAGAUGAUAUGCAAUAAGUUUUCCUAUCAAUAUUUACUUUUCCAAUUGCUUAAGUGAAUAAAGAUAUGAUUUCCAAAAUUAUUAUGGUGCUUGUACUUAUCCCUAUCAACUGUUUUAUCAAAAAUACAUUUUUU
rnacentral:lncRNA from 1 species